AUGAUUAGUCCAAAUCUAAGUGUGCUUAAUUGGAAUGUUCGUGGUCUGAACUGCCCCAAUAGAAGAACCACUGUGAAUGCCACCAUUGCAGCCUCAACAUGUCACUUGGCUUGCCUCCAGGAAUCAAAACUUGAAGAUGUGGAUGCCUACACUGCAGCUUUUCUUGGCGGAUAUAGACUGAAAGGCUUUGCUCAGCGCCCUGCUGUUGGAACGCGGGGUGGAAUCCUACUUCUUUGGAAUGAAGAUCAUGUCCGCGUUGAAAAUGUCCAAUAUGGCGACUACACCCUCUCAGCCACUGUCACUAUCAUCAGCUCCAGUGUUUCUUUCAAGCUAACC
rnacentral:rRNA from 1 species